rnacentral:rRNA from 1 species
UACGAGGGGAGCAAGCGUUGUUCGGAUUUACUGGGCGUAAAGGGCGCGUAGGCGGCGUGACUAGUCACUUGUGAAAUCUCCGGGCUUAACUCGGAACGGUCAAGUGAUACUGUCGUGCUAGAGUACAGAAGGGGCAACUGGAAUUCUCGGUGUAGCGGUGAAAUGCGUAGAUAUGCGGAGGAACACCGAUGGCGAAGGCAAUCCCCUGGACCUGUACUGACGCUCAUGCACGAAAGCGUGGGGAGCAAACAGG